GUACCACUAUCGGCUCGCCCUUUGACCAAUGUUGCUGGAAAUCCAUUAGAUCCUCGCGAGUCAUGUCUUCAGUUUGCUUAAAGUUUGGGGAGUACACCGAAUUUAAAGUCAUGCACAAAAAUGAGACUCGAUUUUGUUUCCCCGGAGAGUGUUGAGACGUGCUUGAAUUUGUGUCAAGAAUACAGAGUUCUUCCUCGUGUUCACGCGAGGAAGAAAGAUAGCUUACAGGUAGGCAAGAUGAUUGUAUAUGCAGUACGAGAUGCCGUGAGUGACAUCAAGGGUUCGAGGGUCUGAUUAGUUUUCUUUUUUUGUUUGAUAAGUACUAUGUAAAAAUGUUCGUGUCAAGAAGAUGAGGCUGCCUUCAUGUUUUACUUGUGUAGUAGUGUAAUGCAAUGAAAAGAAAAAUGUUCGGUUUAU